AAAUUGAAGAGUUUGAUCAUGGCUCAGAUUGAACGCUGGCGGCAGGCCUAACACAUGCAAGUCGAGCGGUAGCACAGAGAGCUUGCUCUCGGGUGACGAGCGGCGGACGGGUGAGUAAUGUCUGGGAAACUGCCUGAUGGAGGGGGAUAACUACUGGAAACGGUAGCUAAUACCGCAUAAUGUCGCAAGA
rnacentral:rRNA from 2 species